CGGGGAGGUAGUGACAAUA
rnacentral:siRNA from 1 species